UACGUAGGCAGCAAGCGUUGUUCGGAGUUACUGGGCGUAAAGGGUGUGUAGGCGGUUCUUUAAGUUUGGUGUGAAAUCUCCCGGCUCAACUGGGAGGGUGCGCCGGAUACUGAGGGACUAGAGUACGGGAGAGGAAAGUGGAAUUCCUGGUGUAGCGGUGAAAUGCGUAGAUAUCAGGAGGAACACCGGUGGUGUAGACGGCUUUCUGGACCGACACUGACGCUGAGACACGAAAGCGUGGGUAGCAAACAGG
rnacentral:rRNA from 1 species